ACGUCUACAUUAGAUACCCCUGUAGUCCCAGCCGUAAACUAUGCGCGUUAGGUGUAUCGGUGACCACGAGUCACCGAGGUGCCGAAGGGAAACCGUGAAACGUGCCGCCUGGGAAGUACGGUCGCAAGGCUGAAACUUAAAGGAAUUGGCGGGGGAGCACCACAACGGGUGGGGCCUGCGGUUUAAUUGGACUCAACGCCGGGAAGCUCACCGGAUAAGACAGCGGAAUGAUUGCCGGGCUGAAGACUCUGCAUGACUAGCUG
rnacentral:rRNA from 1 species